GACGAACCGUGCGAACGUUAUUCGGAAUCAUUGGGCUUAAAGGGCGCGUAGGCGGCGGCGUAAGUUGGAAGUGAAAUCCCAUCGGCUCAACCGUGGAAUUGCUCCCAGUACUGCGUCGCUCGAGGGGGAUAGGGGUCUGCGGAACUACCGGUGGAGCGGUGAAAUGUGUUGAUAUCGGUGGGAACGCCAGUGGCGAAAGCGGCAGACUGGGCCCUUCCUGACGCUGAGGCGCGAAAGCUAGGGGAGCAAACGGG
rnacentral:rRNA from 1 species